GUAUCAAAGCUCAAAGAUGCUAUUCCUAAACCAAACUCCAAUACAUACUUCAAAAUGAAGUCUUAUAUGUUAUCAGCAAUCAUGUUGGGGUAUAGGAUUCUCAAGGUGAUGUGGAUUCCUAACAGUGUAUUAUACUAACAAAAAGGAACAAACUCUCGUAAAACUAAAGGAAGACCCACAUGACCUCAUAUAAAGCAGGUCCAUGCUUCACUGCUUCUUUUAAACCCCUCCUCAUCUUGCAAACUCUAGCUAAUAAAUACAGC
rnacentral:lncRNA from 1 species